rnacentral:lncRNA from 1 species
UUUAACAGAAUUUGAAAAGAGUUUAUUUGGAAUUUUUUUCUUUUUUUCUUUAGGCCACUUUGUGCCGUAUGCGGGAUCUUAGUUUCCUGACCAAGGAUCAAGCUCAAGACCUCUGCAGUGAAAGCAUGGAGUCUUAACCACUGGACUGCCAGAGAAGUCCCGCCAUCAUCUUCUUGACUCUGACAGCUCUGUGAGACAGAAGGCCCGACCAGACCAGUUAUCCUGAGCAUAUUUUCUGAAACAUAAAUCAGGACACAUUCAUCUGGCCCUGGCCUGACAUGUGGCCUCCCAACACAGCAGACUGUUUGAAAUUGAGACUUCUUGGAAAUUCUGGGAUGAAGACUGGCUGCCCCAGGAUCCCUCUGAAUCGAGGAUGAAGGCUUGGCCCAACCAAGACGCAAGGACCGGAGCCACCACCUGUGACUCUCGUGUUCUUUAGGAAAGAGGGAGGAAGAACGUGGACAUUUUGGAAAUAAUGAAACUUGUACGUUUUCCACCUCAGAGCAGAGAUCAGGUGAUCAGAAAUCGGCUGGAAAUUUUGGGUCUUUGGGUUAUGAGGUUCUGCAUCACGGAGGCGAAGACUCAGAACCGGAAGGACAACCACCACCGCCACCUGCCAAGGACAGUUUCCAAAUUCCUGGUUUCUUUAUCAGGAGUGAUUUUCUGGCAGACAUCACA